rnacentral:rRNA from 1 species
ACUGUGGUCCGGGAUUAUUGGGGCGUAAGGGCUCGCAGGCGGGUUUCUUAAGUCUGAUGUGAAAGCCCCCGGCUCAACCGGKGAGGGUCAUUGGAAACUGGGAAACUUGAGUGCAGAAGAGGAGAGUGGAAUUCCACGUGUAGCGGUGAAAUGCGUAGAGAUGUGGAGGAACACCAGUGGCGAAGGCGACUCUCUGGUCUGUAACUGACGCUGAGGAGCGAAAGCGUGGGGAGCGAACAGGAUUAGAUACCCUGGUAGUCCACGCCGUAAACGAUGAGUGCUAAGUGUUAGGGGGUUUCCGCCCCUUAGUGCUGCAGCUAACGCAUUAAGCACUCCGCCUGGGGAGUACGGUCGCAAGACUGAAACUCAAAGGAAUUGACGGGGGCCCGCACAAGCGGUGGAGCAUGUGGUUUAAUUCGAAGCAACGCGAAGAACCUUACCAGGUCUUGACAUCCUCUGACAACCCUAGAGAUAGGGCUUUCCCUUCGGGGACAGAGUGACAGGUGGUGCAUGGUUGUCGUCAGCUCGUGUCGUGAGAUGUUGGGUUAAGUCCCGCAACGAGCGCAACCCUUGAUCUUAGUUGCCAGCAUUCAGUUGGGCACUCUAAGGUGACUGCCGGUGACAAACCGGAGGAAGGUGGGGAUGACGUCAAAUCAUCAUGCCCCUUAUGACCUGGCUACACACGUGCUACAAUGGGACAGAACAAGGGCUGCGAGACCGCAGGUUUAGCCAAUCCCACAAAUCUGUUCUCAGUUCGGAU